UUUCAGGUGACUGAGUAAAAUAAGUAUUAGACUUUUAAUCUAAAAACGACGCCUUUCGUCCCUGGAAA
rnacentral:tRNA from 1 species